UGUCUGUCUGUCUAUGCUAUGUGUCGUCUUCCAUGUCUAUGUGUCUAUUACCUGUCUAUGUCUUUGUGAUUGCCCACAUGACUCAACUUUUGUCUGUGUCAACUCAACUUACUCCUGUCGUCUGUCCUUGUCGUUUGACCGUGUCGUCUUGCUGUGUCAAUGCUGCAUGUGUCAUGACUAUGUGUUGUUUCACUCUGUCGUUGCUAUGCGUCGUUGUUAUGCGUUGUUGCUAUGCGUCGUUUCCCUCUGUCGUUGCUUUAUGUUGUUUCACUCUGUCGUUAGCAAGAGCUAACGUUAGCUAGCAAGAGUUCCGGCAGUUGAUGUCACGCGAUCCCAGCAUGCACCAGUCAAUAUCAAAACACUCACUGCCAUCGGAGCUGAGCCAGAGUCAGCUAGCUACGUUACUAGCUAGCUAGUUGCACCUAUUGUAGAUAGCUAGCUAGAUAAAUGGAUCAUUUAUUGAUCCCAAGGGGAAAUAAUUUGCUGCCUAUUUCAAUAAACGCCUUGAUUCAGCAUGGUGGAUAGCUGCUGUGCGCCGGGAUGCCAGAACCAUCGGAAAAAAGAUAAUGGAUAGCAUGAGAUUCCUAGCUAAAGAUCCCGAGAGAAGAAGUAAAUGGAUUGCUUCCAUAAAACGUGCUAGAAGCAGACGGAACCAAACCGAGCCAUGGGAGCCCACAAACAAUGGAUUUCGGUUAUGCUGUGACCACUUCAUAUCAGAGAAAAAGAGUGACAACCCUCUGUCACCUGACUACGUUCCUUCAAUCUUCAAUCAUGUUCCAUCCCCGGAGAAGA